rnacentral:rRNA from 1 species
CCCUUAGAUGUUCUGGGCCGCACGCGCGCUACACUGAUUCAUGCAACAAGUUUUGUCCUUGGCUGAUAGGCCUGGGUAAUCUUUGAACGUGAAUCGUGAUGGGGAUAGAUGAUUGCAAUUAUUCAUCUUCAACGAGGAAUUCCUAGUAAACGCAAGUCAUCAGCUUGCAUUGAUUACGUCCCUGCCCUUUGUACACACCGCCCGUCGCACCUACCUAUUGAAUGGUCCGGUGAAAUCUUCGGAUCUGAGAGAUGUCUGAUUAAUUUCGGACGCCUUUUGGAAAAGUUGCUUAAACCUUACCAUUUAGAGGAAGGUGAAGUCGUAACA